CUGCGUACCUUUUGUAUAAUGGGUCAGCGACUUAUAUUCUGUAGCAAGGUUAACCGUAUAGGGGAGCCGGAGGGAAACCGAGUCUUAAUUGGGCGUUAAGUUGCAGGGUAUAGACCCGAAACCCGGUGAUCUAGCCAUGGGCAGGUUGAAGGUUGGGUAACACUAACUGGAGGACCGAACCGACUAAUGUUGAAAAAUUAGCGGAUGACCUGUGGCUGGGGGUGAAAGGCCAAUCAAACCGGGAGAUAGCUGGUUCUCCCCGAAAGCUAUUUAGGUAGCGCCUCGUGAAUUCAUCUCCGGGGGUAGAGCACUGUUUCGGCUAGGGGGCCAUCCCGGCUUACCAACCCGAUGCAAACUGCGAAUACCGGAGAAUGUUAUCACGGGAGACACACGGCGGGUGCUAACGUCCGUCGUGAAGAGGGAAACAACCCAGACCGCCAGCUAAGGUCCCAAAGUCAUGGUUAAGUGGGAAACGAUGUGGGAAGGCCCAGACAGCCAGGAUGUUGGCUUAGAAGCAGCCAUCAUUUAAAGAAAGCGUAAUAGCUCACUGGUCGAGUCGGCCUGCGCGGAAGAUGUAACGGGGCUAAACCAUGCACCGAAGCUGCGGCAGCGACACUCAGGUGUUGUUGGGUAGGGGAGCGUUCUGUAAGCCUGUGAAGGUGGCCUGUGAGGGUUGCUGGAGGUAUCAGAAGUGCGAAUGCUGACAUAAGUAACGAUAAAGCGGGUGAAAAGCCCGCUCGCCGGAAGACCAAGGGUUCCUGUCCAACGUUAAUCGGGGCAGGGUGAGUCGACCCCUAAGGCGAGGCCGAAAGGCGUAGUCGAUGGGAAACGGGUUAAUAUUCCCGUACUUGGUGUUACUGCGAAGGGGGGACGGAGAAGGCUAUGUUGGCCGGGCGACGGUUGUCCCGGUUUAAGCGUGUAGGUGUGUGUUCCAGGUAAAUCCGGUUCACUUUAACACUGAGGCGUGAUGACGAGGCACUACGGUGCUGAAGCAACAAAUGCCCUGCUUCCAGGAAAAGCCUCUAAGCAUCAGGUAACAUCAAAUCGUACCCCAAACCGACACAGGUGGUCAGGUAGAGAAUACCAAGGCGCUUGAGAGAACUCGGGUGAAGGAACUAGGCAAAAUGGUGCCGUAACUUCGGGAGAAGGCACGCUGACAUGUAGGUGAAGUGAUUUACUCAUGGAGCUGAAGUCAGUCGAAGAUACCAGCUGGCUGCAACUGUUUAUUAAAAACACAGCACUGUGCAAACACGAAAGUGGACGUAUACGGUGUGACGCCUGCCCGGUGCCGGAAGGUUAAUUGAUGGGGUCAGCGCAAGCGAAGCUCCUGAUCGAAGCCCCGGUAAACGGCGGCCGUAACUAUAACGGUCCUAAGGUAGCGAAAUUCCUUGUCGGGUAAGUUCCGACCUGCACGAAUGGCGUAAUGAUGGCCAGGCUGUCUCCACCCGAGACUCAGUGAAAUUGAACUCGCUGUGAAGAUGCAGUGUACCCGCGGCAAGACGGAAAGACCCCGUGAACCUUUACUAUAGCUUGACACUGAACAUUGAGCCUUGAUGUGUAG
rnacentral:rRNA from 1 species